rnacentral:lncRNA from 1 species
AGAUGAAAUUGUAUUGUCUGGUGAGAGUAGCGAAGAAGAUGAAAAGAUUAUGUUAACAUCGUCGAAUAUCACAGAUUUCCAAGAAAAGUAAGAUUAUCACUCUGUGGUAAUACAGCUAAUUCAAUUAGCCUUUUUUCACGACCGACAUUUCCGCCCUUUUUUAGGGUAUUGCCUCUCCCACGUUCGAGACUCUCCGCUCCACAAAAUGCGACUUUUUAGUAUUAUAGUUGGGCAAUUGCUAGAUAGUAUACUUCAAAAUAAGAUUUCCGUUUUUAUUCUAUUUUUAAAAUAAGUUAGGGUUAGGUUAGGGUUUAAGUUAGGGUUAGGUUGGGGUUAGGGUUAGUAUUAGGGUUUAGUUUUGCGUUAGGAUAGUUUUUUUCUACGUUAUAAAAACGGAAACCUUACUUUGAAGUAUACUAUCUAGCAAUCACCAUUAUAGUUGCAUGUUUGUUGUUUGAGGGCAGAUAGUAUCCCCAAAAUGGCGGAUUUGACCUUCGUGAGAAAGACUGAUUAAGGUUGUCGUCUGAAACUGCAAAACUCACAACCUCUAAGCUCGAUGGACGUGUUAGCACGAUCUAGUUCAGUUGUUAUAUUUUUACUAAUUAUAGUUUUUAUGUUGUCUAGAUAGUGUGCUAAUAAAGUGAAUUUAAAUCCCAAGGGAGUAAAGCAUGUCCCGUAAACAACUUUCUUUAACGUUAAGAGCUUUAAAAAUCCCAUGAAUUCUGCCGUGUUUACUACUGAAUUGGGUUAGACGCCUUAAUUGUCACUAUUUUAAAUGAUAGAAUGUAGAGUUAUUAAGUAACUUACAGGACUUUCAGAGGGAAUUGAGUAGAAUCGAUUUUACUAGUGUAUAAAAACACUUAUCAAUAUUCAUAACCAGUCUUCGCUUUGCGCUCUCGCGUGCUAUAUCGAAUAUAUUUAAUUGUAGUGACGACUUUUCAUUGUAUAAAAAUUAUAUACAUAUGUGAAAAUUUUAUUUGUGAAAAUUUAUGAGUAUUUUCUUGCCAAAUAGCAAACUUUUCAAGCAACAAAUCACUAUUCAUGCUAAAAUAUCACAAAUUUCAUGAUCGACACUUUAAUUCAUUCUUACCUUGGUUCUGUUCACCUUGUCUCAACCGUCGAGCUUUCCUUUCAUUUUCAGUCUUGAAAUUUUCAAUUUAAUGAUCCAGAGUUGUUUCAUCGUCGUAAAUUAAUAAUUCCAGAUGCCCUAACAACUGAUUUUCAUUCUUUACACAUGGCCUUGUAGUACGCUUGAGUUUGUUUUAUCAUUUCAAUUUUCACAAAAUGGAAAGUUUCUGCGCGAGACUGAACACAGUGCGCGUCUCUGUCAGUCAGUUAUGAUAAACUACAUCAUGACAUCACAACGUUUUUGUAGCCUGCGCGAGAAAAAGGAAUUGUGGGUAAUUAAUUAAUUCAAUGUCUGUGACGUCAUUUAAUGAAACAAGAAUAAAAACUUGCGUAAACCGUUUUUUCACGGGGGGACUUUCAGUGUACGUGAAACGCAUGUCAUAACCAAAAGGUCGUUUGUUUGAGACAAAAUAUACACAACGAAAUUCGUCAUAGAGCAGAAAUGCCAUAUUGUCUGGAACUCGGCCUGUUUUUUAACCGUGAGUUUUUUAAUCCUUUUUUACUGAAAUUUCACACACAAUUUUAAUUGUUUAAAAGCUUUAGACAAUUUUAAUUGCUUAAAAACUUAAAAGCUUCUUCUAGAGAGUGGUGCGCACUGCAAACUAUCAAAAUACGCAAAUGAUAAACUUUAUAUUCGAAAAAGUGCUGUGCUAAUCCCUAGCUUGGCUGUUUUUACCAAAUCAACGUUUUUUUGUCAACAUAGCGAUAAUAAUUUUGUUUUCUUUUAUUUGAAGAAAAGUCACGAAAGAAACAGCCACAAAAGAUGAUAUGAACGUGUCAAAAAACAAGAAAACAAAAAAGAAAUAACUGUAUCUCAUAAAUGAAAUGAAACAUACAGGGUUGUUGGCAGGGCGUCCUACAUGUUGUUGACGUGCGAACGUUUACAUGAGAAUUUUGUCAACUGUAAAACAAGAGCUGUAUGAAGUUGACAGGAUAUCACCACGCGUAGCAAAAACUCUCAAGGAAGCGCAAAGUUGAUGAGAAUAAGACCGGGGCUAAACAAAGCUAUAAUGUAAUAGUUUCUGGUGGUAUUACUUGUUCUUUUGUUUUCGUAAAAGGAUGGGAAAAUGCAAGUUAUAUAACUGCACAAGCCGAGCAUAACCCGUAACAUUUAUCUGUAGAUGGCAGAUGCCUUGAAAUAAGAUAUUUUUACUUAAAAGAAUGGGGCUAAGCUGUCAUCAUCCCACCAAAUGUGUAUAACAUUGACGUGAUUUGGGACAGCAUUUGAUUUACCCGAUUAACCGCUAGUCAAAUCUGAACUGGGGCGUAGGAAGC